rnacentral:pre_miRNA from 1 species
UAUGUACUUCCUCCGUCCAGAAAUACUUGUCAUUGAAAUGGAUGUAUCUAGAUGUAUUUUAGUUGUAGAUACAUCCAUUUUGAUGACAAGUAUUUCCGGACGGAGGGAAUAUAUU